AUAGCCGACCUGAGAGGGUGAUCGGCCACACUGGAACUGAGACACGGUCCAGACUCCUACGGGAGGCAGCAGUAGGGGAUCUUCCGCAAUGGGCGAAAGCCUGACGGAGCAACGCCGCGUGAGUGAUGAAGGUCUUCGGAUCGUAAAACUCUGUUAUUAGGGAAGAACAUAUGUGUAAGUAACUGUGCACAUCUUGACGGUACCUAAUCAGAAAGCCACGGCUAACUACGUGCCAGCAGUCGCGGUAAUACGUAGGUGGCAAGCGUUAUCCGGAAUUAUUGGGCGUAAAGCGCGCGUAGGCGGUUUUUUAAGUCUGA
rnacentral:rRNA from 1 species